rnacentral:rRNA from 1 species
AAACUUUCAACAACGGAUCUCUUGGCUCUGGCAUCGAUGAAGAACGCAGCGAAAUGCGAUAAGUAAUGUGAAUUGCAGAAUUUAGUGAAUCAUCAAAUCUUUGAACGCACAUUGCGCCCCUUGGUAUUCCGAGGGGCAUGCCUGUUCGAGCGUC